CUCUGCAACUUUCCAGCAUUAGCAGCAGCACCUGAAAUCAACUCUGGUGGUGAUUUUCCUAACUUAUCGUCAUUGGUUUACGGGAACUGUGAAUCAAUUCAGCCUUACAAAGGUCUUCAACCUGAGAUUUUCUUCAAGAUAUCACAUGAGAUCUAUAACUAUAGAAAAGGGUAUGGCUGACGUUAUCGAAAGGAGGUUUGGUAGUACAAAAAAUACCUUACAACAAAAACAAGUCCAAUGAUGGACCAAUUGCAAUGGCAUCUGCUGGAUUUUUAGCUUCUAUUAGGUAAAUAUCUAUGGACCUGUAUUACUUUCAUUUAAAUUUCCCUGGUACGUGAUAUCCUACUAUGUGUAUAUUUGGUUAUGCAUCGGUGAAAGUACCAUUUUGUGCUUUACUAUUCUGCUGCUAUCAUUCAUUUAUGAAGGUAAGGUAUCAUGAAUUUGAGUCGAUAUGAGCAUGGGACUAACUGGUUGAUUGGUAGUUUAAUAUUGGCUCCUUAUAGUUCAAGAAAUGGGUUAUGUAUCUUAAACCAAAUCGUCGGGAUCAAACUGCAAUAGUGGUAUGGAUGUCGCAGUUUGUCUUCAGGGAUCAACGUCUAUAUGCGUUGAUGUUUUGCCACUGUCAAGGAAUGGGCGGGACGAAAUUCAGUGUUUAAGUGAAGAUGUUCGAGCUUCCAUUUAUUCUGGUUGCUAUUUUGGUGUGUUGCCUCAUGUGAGUCAGUUUUGAAAACAGGAUCUGUUGUUCCAGAAUUUAUCUAAAUUCUAAUUCUGAAACAACCGGCGCGUGUGUUGGAGAUGUUGGUAUAUCGGUGUUGUCAAGCUGAUGGGUUGAGACAGUUGUAAGUUUCCUACAUGUUUAUAACACCUUCACUAAACAAUUGUUUGUUGUGGAUAGAACGAUGUUAUGUCGUAAUGGAAUUGGUAUAAAAUGCUACUUUUUGUGGUCUCCUAUCGCUGCAUUUUUUCAUGAAAGAAUGACGCAUAUGUCGUUGGUGUCUCAUGUUAGUGGAAACAAAUAAGGUCUCCUAUCUUGCCGUUGUUUGCAGUGUUAUAUGGCCUAAGAAGAAUUAAACCUUCAACUGCAGAGAAUUAGAGUGCUUACUUACUCCGAGUGAAUUUCAAUGUUCGUCGAGGAAAAUGGAAAAUUCAGAAUAUGUACAAAAGUUCUUGAUAAUCUCUAUUAUUAUUUAUGAAUUAUAACCCUGCUUAUUUGAAUCAAAUAAUUUUAUUUAGUAUGGGAAAAGCAAGGUGAUGAGAUAAGCCUCGAGUAUGUUUGGAUUUAUGAUACAAAUAUGGAAAGAAAACAGUAUAGCUGGAUUGAUAAAAGAUAGGAUUAGUGCAGUUUCGCGCUAUUACUUGAAUAAUUUCCAUGAUGGCAUUCGGCAGGCAAUUUCAUUUAUGUUCACGGUUUGUAUCCUCAAUGGUUUGUAUCUUUUUAGUAUUUCAAUCUUGAUUUAUGUUAGAUGACGGUAAAGUACUUUCAUGGGGCCAUGAUGGACAAGGUCAGUUGGGUCACAAAUCUAUUGAAAACCAGAAGAUACCAACAAUAGUCGAGGCUACAGCUCAUGAGCAAAUAACUUUUAUCUUUCACCAAUGAGUCCUUGAGCAUAUUUUUAAUACAGUGCUCCAAAAUGCAUGAUACUAUAAAGGAAAGUUAUACAUGGGAAAUGCCGCAGAUUCGCAAUUUGGAUUUCUUGGACUACAACCACGCCUCAUUGAAGUCAAUUUUUUAAUGGAAGAUGAUGGAACCACACAACGUUGUAAGAGUACAUGUUGAUUAUGUCAUGUUGGCAUAAUAGAGAUAGCUGAUCUUGAAUAAGGUACAUUUUCAUAGAUGAAAUGCAGAAAAAGCUUUUUCUUUUUGUGGAGUACAAUUUCUCAAUGAAUAGAUGAUGAUUACAAUUGUUGUUACAGUGGAUUCAGAUCUUAAAGUCAUUAUCAAUGAACUAUCUUUACUAAAUUCAGUUUUGAUAACUAUAUUAUUGUGAGUAACGUUACAUAAAGAUCAACAUGCAUUUGAAGAAUCUCUUGCUAAAUGUAUGGUUCUUUACUCGAAUUUUUGUUCAUGGAAAUGUCAACGGCCUUAUGAAUAGUAAAAUAUAUGAGUACAUUUUGGUCUA